UCCGGGGUAGCUCAAUUGGCAGAGCACGCGACUGUUAAUCGUGGGGUUGAGAGUUCGAGUCUCUCCCCCGGAG
rnacentral:tRNA from 1 species